GUGGCCAAGUGGUAGAGCGUCCGCCUCGGAUGCGGGAGGUCGCGGAUUCGAACCCCGGCCCCCCUCA